AAACGUAUGUUUUAUUAAAUUGUCAAAUUUUAUGUCAAACAUGUGCAGUUGUUUCUAAAUUGAGAUUUGGGAUAAUGUUAUUUUUUUACUUUAUAAAAAUUUCUCAUGUUUAAUUAUUUAUAGUAUAAUUACUAUUUUUAAUUAAAUUGUAAAUAUAAUUACUAUUGUUUAAGUUAGAGAACUUGAGUAGAGCCAAAUAUUUAGUGUUUAGAAAGUUAAACUAACAUCGUGUGUAUUUUUAUUAACACAAGAGGAAAUUCAAAAUUAUUUAUUUACCAGAAUCAUACAUUCAGAUUUAUGUACAAAAAGGCAUAUGGAAGCCAGUUAUGGUAUUGUUGGUAUUUCUUCAGUAAAUGCUGUCCUGCUAAAUUACGGAUAAACAAUGCAGGUAAAGUUACAGAGACUAUUGGCAAGCACAAUCAUGAUCCACCUACAUGCUGGAUGACACCAGAUGGAAAGUCGUACAAUCUUCCUCCGCUUCCAGAAAAAAAUAACGAAAAUGAAUAAAUUGUACUGUUACCUAAUAUUAAACCAUUGAUUAAAGAAAUGACUUUUACUGAAAACAGUUAAGAACAAAUUAUCAAUGAGAUUUUAGUUAUAAAUAAAUAAAAAUAUAUUAUUUA